rnacentral:lncRNA from 1 species
UCAAUAUUAAUUUAAAUAUUAAUGUUUUCUUGUUUUUUUCUAAAUUUUAGCUUAAACAAAUGAAGAUGGAGGAGUUAAAUUCAAAUUUUCAUGUGAGAUUGUUUAAUGUGAAUUGGACUCUUUAUUCUUACUGUUAUAAGUUCAAAUCAUGCCAGAAGAAUCGGUUUUAUAAUCAUAUAAAGUUGGAAGAAAUAAAUAAUGAUUGGAAAUAUAAGCGUUAUUCACUACAAAGUUUUUGCUAAUUAGAAGUUGUUAUUAGCAGUUCGCCUAAAUAAAAAGAGAAAAACUUUCAAACACUUUUGAAAAGUUUAAACUACGGCUUCUUCGUUAUAUAAUCCACAAAACAAGAAGCAAAUUUCAAUAUUCAAAAACUUUUCAAAUUGUAAAUGAAGUCAAUAGAUUUCGACAGCUGUAUUUGAACUGAUGUUGAACUGUUUAUAAAACAUAUGAUGAAUACAAAUCAAACUCGUAUUUAAAUGAGAUUAAAGUUUAAAUCGAGAAUCUUUAAAGAACAAAUUGGACUAUUUUUAAAACUAAAACACUUGCAAUUCAUCAGAAAUAUUGAACAAACUUAAACAACAUUUUAAUUUUUUUCAAGCUUAAUUAUCUAUUAGACACUUGUGUCCAUUGGGCUGCCCCGUUACUAUAUAAAGAUACUAAAGUUUUUUAUACUGUAUUUGCUGUUCAAAGAAAGACACUGAAAGUUUGAGUUAAAAGUUUUUAAAGAUCGUGCGUCGAAACACAACAAAAACGUUAGCUCAGAAGACAACGUAAAAAACAUAUACAAAAAGAUUUCAUCAAAUGAACAACGAAAACUUUUGAAAUAAGGGCUGGCCAUCUCUUUAACUGGAAUUAAACAAGAAUUGUUGAAACCAUUAAAGAGAAAACACUGAAGAUGUGCUCCUUCAACUUAAAAGAUAAUAAUCGAAGAUGUUUAAAGGUAAUCCCUUAGGAGAAAGGAUACAAACAAAAGUUGCCCUCUAAAUCUCAAGGAAUAUUUCUUGCGUAAAAAAAUUAUAAAUUUUGUGGCGAUUGCUUGAAAAAGGUAAGAAUACAUUUAAUUUUCUUUAGAUUAUCACACUUUUCUUUAAAAAAUUAACUGAUGAUAAAGGGAAUCUGAUUAUGUGGCAUGAUUUCACAUUAAAACCGCAACAACGCAACCCGAUUCAUAAUAGGUCCUGCUGAAAUUUUUUCAAAAUUAUAUAUUAUGGUUUUUAGUAAAAUUUUAAAGAGAAAAAAGUUUUAUAAUUAUUUUCAAUAUAUGCAUUUUGUGUCGGUAAUAACUUCCCUAGAUCUUUUUCAGAGAUUGCUCUAUACGAGUUUUUAUAAAUGGGAUCUCAUCAAACGAGUUCAAGAUUAAUUCAGGGGUACCGCAAGGCUCCAAUUUUUUCCCUACCCGAUUUUUUAUCUUUAAUGACCUUCUAUGUCAAACUUACAACUCUAUCUACUCUUUUGAGGAUGACAGUAGCAUUUGUCAUUCUCAUUCAAUUAUAGGCCAAGCUAUGAAUGAAUCGCUUAAUCUCGACUUGAUAAAAAAAAAAACUCUGAAAGGGGUCUAGUUAACAGAGUCUAUGUUAACCCCCGCAAGUUUCCAUGUUUUUAACACAUAGACGCUUGGCAGAUAUUGUUAUUCCAUCUAUAUAUAUGGGUGGUGUAAAUAUUAAGGAAUCGGAAACUCUUGAUGUUCUGGGCAUGAAAAUUCAGUGUGAUGUCCGCUGAACUAAACACAUUUUUCAAGUGUCGAAAGAAGCAUUCAAGUAUCUCGUUUUUUUUAAAAGGUGUAAGACAUACUUCACUUCAUCUGAUCCGAAAAUGGAUAUAACUCUCAUUCACUGGAGCACCGCCGCAACAUGGGGUGUAUUUCUCUAUUCUAUCGAUACUACAAUGGAAUAUGUUCCUUUGAAAUUAAGGAACUUGUUCCCGAUAUCCGUAUAUUCUUGCCUAACACAAACGACUUUCUUCAAGAAUACACCCAUCGAUACUACAAUGGAAUAUGUUCCUUUGAAAUUAGGGAACUUGUUCAAGAUACCCGUAUAUUCUUGCGUAACACACACGACUUUCUUCAAGAACACAUCCAUUUGUGGUAGACGUGGACAAUGGACCGCACUACAGGGAAAAUUCAUUCUUCAGCUGCACUGCUCGUUUGUGGAAUAAACUUCCUGAAGAGGUAUUCCUUGCCACUUUCGAUAUAAGAAGAUUUAAAUCAAAUGCAAUUCCAUAUCGUUUCAAUGCUCUAAAGUUACCAAAUGGAGAAAAUUUCGAUUCAAAUUGAAAUGCAGAAUAGGGGCCAUUACAUUUUUAUCAACACUUCUUUAAAAUUUAUUAAAACCAUACAUGUAUA